GCAGUUUUUUAAGCAUGGAUAACGCCUCUUGUCUGUGAAAUAGUUAUAACAAUUUCUCUUAGUUUUUAGGAACAUCAAUUUAAUAUUAGUUUCGAAGCCAAGGAGUUUAAAAUCUGUAACUCACCACAAAAUAAAGAAUUGUUCAGUUCUGGGACCGUUUGAUAACUUUAAAAUUAAGUAAGUUCCUUGGGGUGCCUGGUGGCUCGGUGGGUUAAGCAACUGACUUCAGCUCAGGUCAUGAACUCUGUCAGCAUAGAGGCCACUUCUGAUAGGCUCUCUCUCUCUUUGCCCCUCCCCCGCAAUAAACAUAAAAAAAGAAAGUAAUCUGAAAUUCGUAGUAAAUACACCGAAUACCAUGAAAAACCUAAACUACCAUAAAAAACCUAAACGUUCCUCCAUUUAAUGAUGGUCAUCAAGGUCAAGAGUUCAAAUGCCAGCAUUAUUUUUCAAACACUUAAAAUGUAGUGAUUUUCCUCUUGAAACCUCCAGUAUUUAUUGUUAAUUUUUUUAAUUUUCUAUUUUUUAUUUGAGAGACAGAAAGAGUAUGAGAGAGGGGCAGAGGGAAAGAUGGAGAGAAUCCCCUGACUGUAGGAUUGUGACCCGAGCUGAAAUCAAGAGUCAGACACUCAAUUGAGCCACCCAGGUGCCCCUGAAACCUCCAGUGUUUUUGUUUUAUUUAUACUUCAUUAAAAGCAGACCGAUUUCUUUUACUUCUUGAUUUUGUUCUAAGAUUUAGGGCCUUUGAUUUCCUUAUAUGAUGGUGGUUGUAUCCUUUUGUUCUUUAGCAUGUUUUCUCUUUCUGUUUAUUACCAUUUAUGUACCUUUACUGAGCACCUGCUAUGUAUCAUUCAUUGUACUGUGCACCAGUAUAUAGAUUCUGAUCCUUGUGCUCAGUGAUUUUGAUUCCUUUGGCAAGCAGCAGGAUAGCUCUCAAAUCAACUUUGGAAUUCAUGAUAUGGGUCACAGAAGGGAGUAUUAACAACACAAGCUAUUUGGUGGCAGUAUCAGUCAGGAUUCUCCAAAGAAACGGAACCAAUAGGAGAUAUAUGUAUAUUUAAAAAAUAUAUGUACGUUCCUUAAAACAAAAAGAUUUAUUUUUUAUGUUUGCUUUUUAUUUUAAGGAAUUGUCUUCUGUGAUUGUGGGAGCUGGCAAGUCUAAAAUUUAUAAGGCCCGCCAGCAAGCUGGAAACAGACAGGAAUUGAUGUAGUCAUGAGUCUGAAAUCUGUAGAGCAAGCUAGCAGACUGGAAACUCCGGCAGGAUUUCUCUUUCAGUCUUAAGACAGAAUUCCUUCUUCUCUGGGGAACCUCGGUUUUUGCUCUUACAGUCCUCCUCUGAUUGGAUGAGGCCCAUCCACAUUAUCAAGAAUUUCAGUGCUUAUAAUCUAGUGUCAGAGGUGGAAUGCAGGCAUACAGAGGUAAGUAAGAAUACAGACUACCGUCACCAACUGGGGCAUAUCCCAGGAAUGCAGGGUUAGUUUAAUAUCUGAAAAUCGGUUAAUGUUAAUAUAUCAUAUUAGUAGAAUAAAAAAUAAAAACUACAUGAUUAUUUCAAUAACUGGAGAUAAAACGUGACAAGUCCAACCUUUUCAAGAUGAGGAACACUCAACCAACUGGGAAUAGAAGGGAACUUCCUCAACUUGAUAAAGGGCAUCUCUGAAAAGCCCGCAGCUCGUAUCAUACUUAAUGAUGAAAUACAGAAUGCUUUCCUGCUAAGAUCAGGAACAGGGCAAGGAUGUCUGCUUUUGUCAUUUAGUGUUGAUUGGAGAUUCGGACUAGUAUGGCAAAAUAAACACACGUACAUAUUAAAAAAAAUUUUUUUUAAGGCACCCAGAAUGUAAAGGAAGAAGUAAAACUCUGUUCACAGGUGACACGAUCCUGUAUGAGAAAGUACCAAGGAUUCCACACACACACACAACUACUACAAUCAAUAAAUGAGUUAGGAAGAUUGCACAUACAAGACCAAUAUUUAAAAAUCAAUUGCAUUUUUACACACAAGGAAUGAUCUGAAAAUGAAAUUAAGAAAGCUGGGGCACCUGGCUGGCUCAGUUGGUUGAGUGUCGGAUUUUGGCUCAGGUCAUGAUCUUGUGGUUCGUGGGUUUGAGCCCAGCAUCAGGCUCUGUGCUGACAGCUUAGAGCCUGGAGCCUGCUUUAGAUUCUGUGCCUCUCUCUCUGCCUCUGCCCAUCUUGUACUCUGUCUCUCUCUCAAAAAUAAAUAAACAUUUAAAAAAAAAAUUUUUUUUUAAAGAAAGAAAGAAAGCAAUUCAUCCUCGAGUUUCUGGGUGGCUCAUUCAGUUAAGUGUCUGACUCUUGGUUUUGGUUCAGGUUAUAAUCUCAGGGUUUCGUGAGUUUGAGCCCUGGUUCAGGCUCUGUGCUGGCAGCUCAGAGCUUGCUUGGAAUUCUCUCUCCCUCUCUGCCCCUCCCCUGCUCACUCUUGCACGCUUUUGCAUACACUGUGGCUCAAAAUAAGUAAAUAAACUUAAAAAAAAAAAGUAUAAAAGUUGUACACUGAAAAUUCUACAAUGUUACCGAGAUUGAUGCUUUAACUAAAGAAGUUUUAAAAGAUCUAAGUAACUAAACACUUCAUGUUGGAAAACUCAGUAUUGUCAAGAUGCCAAUAUUCUCCAAAUUGAUCUAAAAAUUUAGUCAAAAUCCCAACAAACUUUUUCUAAAGGAAUUGACCAACUGAUUCUUUUUCUGUCUUUAAUUUUUUUUGUUUAACAUUUCUUUUUGAGAGAGAGAUAGAGGGAGGCGGAGCACGAGUAGGGGCAGAGACAGAGGGAGACAUAGAGUCUUAAGUAGACUCUGCACUCGGCACAGAGCCUGAUGCAGGGCUCAAUCCCAUGACUCUGGGAUCAUGACCUGAGCCGAAAUCAAGAGUUGGAUGCUCAACCAACUGAGCCACCCAGGUGCCCUGAAAAAUCUUAAAAAAAGGAAGGGAGGAAGAGAGGAAGGGAGGGAGGGAGGGAGGGAGAGAGAGCGAGAAAGAGAAAGAAAGAAAGAGACUAACAAAGUUAAAGGACUUGCACUACCCAAUUUAAAAAAUUACUAUAAAACCACAGUGUGGUAUUGGCACAACAAAAGUCAUAUAGAUCAAUGGAACAGAAUUUUAAGGCAGAAAUAAAACCUUAUGUUUAUGGUCAGUUGAUUUUGACAAAAGUACCAAGACCUAUCAACAGGAAAAGAAUAGUUUUUUUCAACAAAUGGUGCUGGGACAUUUGGAUAAUGACAAGCAAAAAAUAAUAGUAACAAUAAAUUUAAACUCUUUCUUACAUCACCAAAAAUUAACUCAGAAUGGAUCAUAGAAUGAAGACACAAGUCACAGAAUGGGAGAAAAUAUUUGCAAUUCAUAUAUAUGUUAAGGGAUUUGUAUCAAGAAUAUAUAAAGAACUUGUACAAU